GUUCUUUGCCACCAGUGCCACCUGGGGAGCCAUGAUGCUGAUCGCUUAUGGUGAAUGGUGCCACCAGAUUCCCCAUCUCUGAAGCAUAAAAUUUCACUCCGGGACCAAAGACAGUCUCAGGGAGAAGAUGGUGACCCAGGCCACCGAGGAGAGAAGGGGGCAAAGGGAAUCAGAGGGAAGAGGGUAAGAACCAAAGGAAUUUCCCCCUAUCUACAGAGGCCACAUUGUGACUCACAGGACUCCAUUUGUACUGG
ensembl:lncRNA